GGACGCUUAGCUCAGCUGGCUAGAGCACCUGCUUGACGUGCAGGGGGUCAGCGGUUCAAGUCCGUUAGCGUCCACCA
rnacentral:tRNA from 5 species